rnacentral:rRNA from 1 species
AUUGAACGCUGGCGGCAUGCCUUACACAUGCAAGUCGAACGGCAGCACGGGAGCAAUCCUGGUGGCGAGUGGCGAACGGGUGAGUAAUAUAUCGGAACGUGCCCAGUCGUGGGGGAUAACGCAGCGAAAGCUGUGCUAAUACCGCAUACGAACUAAGGAAGACAGCGGGGGAUCGCAAGACAUCGCGCGAUUGGAGCGGCCGAUAUCAGAUUAGCUAGUUGGUGGGGUAAAGGCCCACCAAGGCCACGAUCUGUAGCUGGUCUGAGAGGACGACCAGCCACACUGGAACUGAGACACGGUCCAGACUCCUACGGGAGGCAGCAGUGGGGAAUUUUGGACAAUGGGCGAAAGCCUGAUCCAGCAAUGCCGCGUGCAGGAUGAAGGCCUUCGGGUUGUAAACUGCUGUUGUACGGAACGAAACGGCCCUUUCUAAUACAGGGGGCUAAUGACGGUACCGUAAGAAUAAGCACCGGCUAACUACGUGCCAGCCGCCGCGGUAA